rnacentral:misc_RNA from 1 species
GAAAUGCGAUAAGUAAUGUGAAUUGCAGAAUUCAGUGAAUCAUCGAAUCUUUGAACGCACAUUGCGCCCGCCAGUAUUCUGGCGGGCAUGCCUGUUCGAGCGUCAUUUCAACCAUCAAGCCCCGAGCUUGUGUUGGGGACCUGCGGCUGCCGCAGGCCCUGAAAACCAGUGGCGGGCUCGCUGUCACACCGAGCGUAGUAGAUUCUCAUCUCGCUCAGGGCGUGCUGCGGGUUCCGGCCGUAAAACAGCCUUAUUUACCCAAGGUUGACCUCGGAUCAGGUAGGAAGACCCGCUGAACUUAAGC